UACCCGCAGCUCAAGUGGUGGUCAUUAUUAUUGGGCCUAAAGCGUCCGUAGCAGGCUUGUUAGAUGCCUGGGUAAAUCGAUGCGCUUAACGCAUCGAAUUCCGGGUAGACCGGCAAGCUCGAGACCGGGAGAGGCGUGAGCUACUCAAGGGGUGGGGGUAAAAUCCUGUAAUCCUUUGGGGAGGACCAGUGGCGAAGGCGUCACGCUAGAACGGCUCUGACUGUGAGGGACGAAGCCCUGGGGCGGCAA
rnacentral:rRNA from 1 species